GCUCGGUUAGCUCAGUUGAUUAGAGUGCUUCCUUGACGUGGAAGAGGUCGUAGGUUUGACUCCUACACCGAGCA
rnacentral:tRNA from 1 species